AUUGAACGCUGGCGGCAUGCCUUACACAUGCAAGUCGAACGGCAGCACGGGAGCAAUCCUGGUGGCGAGUGGCGAACGGGUGAGUAAUAUAUCGGAACGUGCCCAGUCGUGGGGAUAACGUAGCGAAAGCUACGCUAAUACCGCAUACGAUCUAUGGAUGAAAGCGGGGGAUCGCAAGACCUCGCGCGAUUGGAGCGGCCGAUAUCAGAUUAGGUAGUUGGUGAGGUAAAGGCUCACCAAGCCGACGAUCUGUAGCUGGUCUGAGAGGACGACCAGCCACACUGGGACUGAGACACGGCCCAGACUCCUACGGGAGGCAGCAGUGGGGAAUAUUGGACAAUGGGCGAAAGCCUGAUCCAGCAAUGCCGCGUGCAGGAAG
rnacentral:rRNA from 1 species